rnacentral:rRNA from 1 species
AACGAACGCUGGCGGCAUGCCUAACACAUGCAAGUCGAACGAGACCUUCGGGUCUAGUGGCGCACGGGUGCGUAACGCGUGGGAACCUGCCUUUAGGUUCGGAAUAACUCAGAGAAAUUUGAGCUAAUACCGGAUGAUGUCUUCGGACCAAAGAUUUAUCGCCUUUAGAUGGGCCCGCGUUGGAUUAGCUAGUUGGUGGGGUAAAGGCCUACCAAGGCGACGAUCCAUAGCUGGUCUGAGAGGAUGAUCAGCCACACUGGGACUGAGACACGGCCCAGACUCCUACGGGAGGCAGCAGUGGGGAAUAUUGGACAAUGGGCGAAAGCCUGAUCCAGCAAUGCCGCGUGAGUGAUGAAGGCCUUAGGGUUGUAAAGCUCUUUUACCCGAGAUGAUAAUGACAGUAUCGGGAGAAUAAGCUCCGGCUAUCUCCGUG